rnacentral:rRNA from 1 species
UAAGGAAUAUUGCGCAAUGGACGAAAGUCUGACGCAGCGACACCGCGUGGGGGAUGAAGGUCUUCGGAUUGUAAACCCCUUUCGGGAGGGAAGAUGGAGUGGGUAACCACUUGGACGGUACCUCCAGAAGCAGCCACGGCUAACUUCGUGCCAGCAGCCGCGGUAAUACGAAGGUGGCAAGCGUUGUUCGGAUUCACUGGGCGUACAGGGAGCGUAGGCGGUUGGGUAAGCCCUCCGUGAAAUCUCCGGGCCUAACCCGGAAAGUGCAGAGGGGACUGCUCAGCUAGAGGAUGGGAGAGGAGCGCGGAAUUCCCGGUGUAGCGGUGAAAUGCGUAGAGAUCGGGAGGAAGGCCGGUGGCGAAGGCGGCGCUCUGGAACAUUUCUGACGCUGAGGCUCGAAAGCGUGGGGAGCAAACAGG